rnacentral:rRNA from 1 species
UACGGGGGGGGCAAGCGUUGUCCGGAAUUAUUGGGCGUAAAGGGCUCGUAGGCGGUUUGUCGCGUCGGGAGUGAAAACACUGGGCUUAACUCAGUGCUUGCUUCCGAUACGGGCAGACUAGAGGUAUGCAGGGGAGAACGGAAUUCCUGGUGUAGCGGUGAAAUGCGCAGAUAUCAGGAGGAACACCGGUGGCGAAGGCGGUUCUCUGGGCAUUACCUGACGCUGAGGAGCGAAAGUGUGGGGAGCGAACAGG